rnacentral:rRNA from 1 species
UACGUAGGGGGCAAGCGUUGUCCGGAAUCAUUGGGCGUAAAGAGCGUGUAGGCGGCUCGAUAAGUCUGCUGUGAAAGUCCAGGGCUCAACCCUGGAAGGCCGGUGGAAACUGUCGGGCUAGAGUCCGGAAGAGGCGAGUGGAAUUCCCGGUGUAGCGGUGAAAUGCGCAGAUAUCGGGAGUAACACCAACGGCGAAGGCGGCUCUCUGGGACGGUACUGACGCUGAGACGCGAAAGCGUGGGGAGCGAACAGG